CCGAGCAGAAGUUGUUUUGCAGGCAUGAGAAAUCACAGUGAGAGCAACGCUAUGCUGCCUGACCCGCUGAGUUCCUCCAGCGUCUUGUGUGUAUUGCUCCGGAUUUCCAGACGUUCUCAUGCUUCUCCCCCAUUCUCCUCUUUCUUCAUGGAUGGUGCGCGUCCAGAAGCAAAGUAGCAGGAAACUCCUCAGAUAAUGAAGCAAGAACUGGACAGCCUCUGGAGGGAGAAAGUAACAACUUUACCAGGAACGAAGAUAAUGUGACUUUUGCUCUAUACACAUCGCACGGGAUAUGCACAGGAGUUACCACCAUCUCAUCAACAGAUAUACCUUGUGAUCUAGUUCCCACCAUUGGUUUAGUGAGGUAAAGUCGACAGGAAGAGGACAAAAGCAUUAUAAUUACAUCUUAAGUAAUUAAAUAAUCAUACAA